rnacentral:rRNA from 1 species
UACAGAGGGUGCAAGCGUUAAUCGGAAUUACUGGGCGUAAAGCGCGCGUAGACGGUUACAUAAGUCGGGUGUGAAAGCCCCGGGCUCAACCCGGGAAUUGCAUUCGAGACUGCGUAGCUAGGGUGCGGAAGAGGGAAGCGGAAUUUCCGGUGUAGCGGUGAAAUGCGUAGAUAUCGGAAGGAACACCAGUGGCGAAAGCGGCUUCCUGGUCCAGCACCGACGUUCAGGCGCGAAAGCGUGGGGAGCAAACAGG